rnacentral:rRNA from 1 species
UGGUGGUCCUAGCGAAGAGGUCACACCUGAUCCCAUCCCGAACUCAGAAGUUAAGCUCUUCAGCGUCGAUGAUACUUGGGCCUGAGCCCUGGAAAAGUAGAUCACCGC